rnacentral:rRNA from 1 species
CCGACGGUGAGGGAUGAAAGCUGGGGGCACGAACCGGAUUAGAUACCCGGGUAGUCCCAGCCGUAAACGAUGCUCGCUAGGUGUCUGGGAUGGUGCGACCGUUUUAGGUGCCGCAGGGAAGCCGUGAAGCGAGCCACCUGGGAAGUACGGCCGCAAGGCUGAAACUUAAAGGAAUUGGCGGGGGAGCACUACAACGGGUGGAGCCUGCGGUUUAAUUGGACUCAACGCCGGAAAACUCACCUGGGGC